UACGUAGGGUGCAAGCGUUAAUCGGAAUUACUGGGCGUAAAGCGUGCGCAGGCGGUUUUGUAAGUUUGUCGUGAAAUCCCCGGGCUCAACCUGGGAAUUGCGAUGAAGACUGCAAGGCUAGAAUCUGGCAGAGGGGGGUAGAAUUCCACGUGUAGCAGUGAAAUGCGUAGAGAUGUGGAGGAACACCGAUGGCGAAGGCAGCCCCCUGGGUCAAGAUUGACGCUCAUGCACGAAAGCGUGGGGAGCGAACAGG
rnacentral:rRNA from 1 species